rnacentral:rRNA from 1 species
CCUACGGGUGGCAGCAGUAGGGAAUCUUUCACAAUGGGCGAAAGGCUGAUGGAGCAACGCCGCGUGCAGGAUGAAGGCCUUCGGGUUGUAAACUGCUUUUAUAAGCGAGAAAUAUGAUGGUAACUUAUGAAUAAGGAUCGGCUAACUACGUGCCAGCAGCCGCGGUCAUACGUAGGAGCCGAGCAUUAUCCGGAGUGACUGGGUGUAAAGAGUUGCGUAGGGGGCCUAAUAAGUAGCUAGGGAAAGCGGGUGGCUCAACCAUCCAGACUAUUAGGUAAACUGUUAAGCUCGAGACCGUGAGGGGUAAGUGGAAUUUCUAGUGUAGGAGUGAAAUCCGUAGAUAUUAGAAGGAACACCAAUAGCGUAGGCAGGUUGCUGGGACGGUUCUGACACUAAGGCACGAAAGCGUAGGGAGCAAACGGGAUUAGAUACCCCUGUAGUC